GACGAACGCUGGCGGCGCGCUUAACACAUGCAAGUCGAACGGAAAGGCCUGCUUUCCCUUGUGGAUUGCGGGUACUCGAGUGGCGAACGGGUGAGUAACACGUGAGUGAUCUGCCCCCAACUUGGGUAUAAGCCUGGGAAACUGGGUCUAAUUCCCGAUAGGACUGCAGGGUGGUGCCUGUGGUGGAAAACGAUUUUCUAGUGGUUGGGGAUGAGCUCGCGGCCUAUCAGCUUGUUGGUGGGGUAAUGGCCUACCAAGGCGGCGACGGGUAGCCGGCCUGAGAGGGUGGACGGCCACAUUGGGACUGAGAUACGGCCCAGACUCCUACGGGAGGCAGCAGUGGGGAAUAUUGCACAAUGGGCGGAAGCCUGCUGCAGCGACGCCGCGUGGGGGAUGACGGCCUUCGGGUUGUAAACUCCUUUCGACCGAGAGGAAGCCACCUGGUUGGAAGGGUGGUGACGGUAGUGGUAGAAGAAGCACCGGCUAACUACGUG
rnacentral:rRNA from 1 species